AAAUUCAUUAGCCACAUCUAUCAUUGGCGUACAUGACAUAUCGACAACAAAACCUGCAAGCCGAGGUGAGUCAACACUUGAUUCAGACCCAGUGAUCUUCAACACAGCAUCUUUAACAUUGGAUUUCUGUCUCUCAAAGAAAGAAGAGAAACUAAAUGAUUCAGUCUCGUCUUCGGGCAGAUCAAUGAACUGAAGACGAUUGGAUAUAGUAGAGGAAGAAGCUCUCCGCGAUUCAACGUAGUUAUGAACUUUAGAGCUGAUAGAAGAAUGACUGAGGAUAAGGACAGUAAUGGAGAGCUGGUGACAGCGGGUUAGAAGAAGCUUUGCUGCUUCCAACGCCGAUACAAGGUGGCCCCUAGCAGGGGCGGGGAUGAACACGAGCUGUGCUUUUUCCAUUUUAGUAUUGAUAAAAUUUUCUUAAUUUUGGUGCCAAAGGCCAAGCAAGCACAAAG
rnacentral:misc_RNA from 1 species